GUAGCUCAGGGCCAGAGCACCUGCUUGGCAUGCAGAAGGUCCCAGGUUCAAUCCUCUGCAUCCA